rnacentral:rRNA from 1 species
CAGCAGCCGCCGCGGGAACACAGAGGGUGCGAGCGUUAAUCGGAUUUACUGGGCGUAAAGCGUGCGUAGGCGGCUUCUUAAGUCGGAUGUGAAAUCCCUGAGCUUAACUUAGGAAUUGCAUUCGAUACUGGGAAGCUAGAGUAUGGGAGAGGAUGGUAGAAUUCCAGGUGUAGCGGUGAAAUGCGUAGAGAUCUGGAGGAAUACCGAUGGCGAAGGCAGCCAUCUGGCCUAAUACUGACGCUGAGGUACGAAAGCAUGGGGAGCAAACAGGAUUAGAUACCCCCGUAGUCCCUGUCUCUUAUAC